rnacentral:rRNA from 1 species
UACGUAGGGUGCGAGCGUUGUCCGGAAUUAUUGGGCGUAAAGGGCUCGUAGGCGGUUUGUCGCGUCGGGAGUGAAAAUCCAGGGCUUAACUCUGGACUGGCUUCCGAUACGGGCAGACUAGAGGUAUGCAGGGGAGAACGGAAUUCCUGGUGUAGCGGUGAAAUGCGCAGAUAUCGGGAGGAACACCUGUGGCGAAGGCGGCUUUCUGGGCCUUACCUGACGCUGAGACGCGAAAGCGUGGGGAGCGAACCGG